CUCAGGCUCCCUCUGUUUUUUAAUGUAAGACGUGUAGCCUCCCUUCAUCUCCAUUGCUCACUCCUGCCUCUUCCCUCCCGCACAGCUCACUCCCCUCCCUUCCCACCGUCGUUGACCCUCCAUGGCCUGCGUCUGUGCCGCCCUACCUUCCAUCUCUCCACACCGCCUCCCUCCUCGCUGGAAUCUCAUAGUGUUCCUCACUGCCACCCUUCUCCCGGGAGAAAUCCCCUCCUUUCCCAGUCGAAGGUCACAAUUUUAUGCGCCUGAUCUGGGGGGGAACCACGACGAUGCCACCUGAACUGAGGAAAACGAAGACGAUGCCGCCGGAUCUGCUAGGUCCCGUCCCCGGAGGGUACCGAGAACCUCAGCCCGACCAGGUGCUGGAUCCGCAGAGGCUAUGCAACGAGAAGGGCGCGUUCGUGCCCGGCGGCCCAUUCGAGCUGCUCGUCCUGGUUCAGGAGGGUUAGAUCGGAUCGGGCGUAGAUGGCCAGCUCCGGCAGGGACGGAGACGGGGAGCGUCAGAUCAGGGUGGCCAUGGACUACUCGGCAAGCAGCUAGAGGGCGAUAGAGUGGGCCGUUCGGAACCUGCUCUACCGAGGCAACACCCCCGUCGUUCCUUAUCAUCCACCAACCAGGCAGGGACGAGGCCAAGCGAGCUGCCCUCUGGGCCGAUUCCGGAACCCCGCUGAUCCCUCUGUCGGAGUUCUACGAGCCGGUGGUGAUGCAAAGCUACGCUAUGCGCUCCAUUUAUGCUCGACACCACCAUGCGCCAGCUCGAGGUAUGUGUGCGUUUGAUCCUUUAUUGUUUAUUAAUAUGUGUUUUGAUUCUUUAAUCAGUCGAGCACGGAGGAACGUGAACUGAGUAAUUGAAUGCCUAUUUUCUUGCUUUCUGUUCUUGGCCUGACGAUCAGCUCAAGGUGCUGCACUGGAUCUUAGCUGUAUGCUACAAAAUGCAUGUUUGAUUCAACAACUUCUUGAUUACAAUAACUACUUAAAAUAGCUGCCACUUUCUUUUCAACUUUUAUGUCUUUGUUGGUAUUACUACAGUAUAAAGGUAAAAAUUCAUCUCCACACUAUUUUCUUGGACUUCCAUUCUUAUGCUAACAAAUCUCCUGCGCGAGCGGUCGGACCUGAGCAGAAGCCGAGAAGACAUCUUGGGCGGCAUAGGCGUGGGCAUGGAGCGGGAACCUCAUGCAGAACAAGAAGAGGGCGGGCGAGUGAGCGAGGACCGUGCCAGCAUUGGAGGUGGAGAUAAGUUGAGAUCUGGCCUGAUGUGCUGCUGAGCGAGGAAGAAGGUGUUGUGUUGGGUGCGCGUGGACCUGGAGGUGCUGGCUGACCCUCUGUGGGUGGGUGCUGGCUGGCGCUCACCGGGGGACACUUAAGCUGGAGGAGCCAAUCGAUACUGAAUCUCCUCUGAUUCACUACCCUGAACUAGGGAUCUACGCCGACGUACCGGCAAGGUCAGGACCGGUUUCUGUGUUUGAGCAUGAAGUGCUUAUUCACCUGGACAAGGCUGUGGACCAUAGCGUCCGGUCGGUACCUCUACCGAUUGCUUGGGAUUCUCUGAUUACCUUGGUCUGGCUGGGUAGACAUGUGGAAUGGCAAUAAGGGGAGUUGGGAGGCUACUGCUAUAUAAGGCAAAACAGACCACGAAGUAGCGCGCAGUGGGCGGUGUGCACAGGAAAGGUUGGUUGAAGCUAUCGUAAGAGGAUAAAAUGAGAUGUGUGAUUUGAACAAGUUGUAGUACCCAUGACUAUCCAUUCUGGUGAUGUGAUUGAUUUGGCACUUUCGCAGUA